UACGAAGGGGGGCUAGCGUUGCUCGGAAUCACUGGGCGUAAAGGGUGCGUAGGCGGGUCUUUUAAGUCAGGGGUGAAAUCCUGGAGCUCAACUCCAGAACUGCCUUUGGUACUGAGAGCUUGAGUCCGGGAGAGGUGAGUGGAACUGCGAGUGUAGAGGUGAAAUUCGUAGAUAUUCGCAAGAACACCAGUGGCGAAGGCGGCUCACUGGCCCGGUACUGACGCUGAGGUGCGAAAGCGUGGGGAGCAAACAGGG
rnacentral:rRNA from 1 species